GGGUACCUGCGGAAGGAUCAUUG
rnacentral:rRNA from 1 species